rnacentral:tRNA from 2 species
GGCGACGUUCCCGAGCGGCUAAGGGCGCGGUCUGCAAAACCGUUGUUCACCGGUUCAAGUCCGGUCGUCGCCU